GAGAUGGAUCGCUGCUGUAACUGGCGACCACUCUCCUGUGUGUAACGGGAAUCGUGGCGCCGACGGCGAAGUCGUAGCUACUGUUCACCGGCUCGCCUCCGACGUACAGCACCAGCUUGCCCACAGUCGAUGUCCACGUCACACAGAGAUGAUGCCAGCCGCCAUCUUGAAUAUUUUCUUUCAACGAGUUCCGAAGAACUAUUCGCUCAGCCUCUUGCAACGUAGACACCGCAUACAUCUGAUAUCCUCGACACGGCAAAAAAACUUUGGUUUAGAUUAAAAAGCUUCUACAAAGUAACUAUUUGCAGCAAAGCUAACUUUACGAUGACGACACGUUUUGGCUAAUAAUUUUAUCAAGACUACAUAACACAGAGGGAAGUAUGAGUCGACUCGCUCGAAACGUGAAAUUUAAAUCUUUGACUGCUUUAGUUUAGCUAAGAUUUGUAACUGAACAUGAAAGUCUAUAUUAAAUAAUCCAAACAUGAA